AGAUGGCCUCGCUUCCUGGUUUGUCUGGUGGAUUUUGUGUCGCCAUCACUUACAUCUGACUUUGUCGUCUCAUUCUGAUUUUGUUUUUCCUGCUGAAUCCACGUCACUCACAGUGACUGACAGCAGAGGGCCAGCAAAGUGCACCUCAGACAGCAGCCAUGUUGCUCCUGGUCCAGUUACUGAUGAUGACGAUGAUGAAAACUGCCAAAACAAAGAUCAUCAUAGUAUCUGCCCUCAGCGGCGAGACUCUCCUGCUGCACCCCCAGUCAGACCUGCCGAGUCUGGGGCUGGAACACAGAUGGGACGUCAGAUGGACUCACCCCCACCUGGUGCUGUCAACAAAGAACAACCAGACCAGGUGUGACCAUGGGCGGUGCGAGCUGCUGAGCAACGGCUCCCUGAGGUUCAGCCCGGUCCAGAUCGAGGACUCAGGAAACUACAGCCUGGAGGUGUUUGACGAAGAAGGGAAACGAUUGCUGAAGAAAGACUUUCUGCUCCAGGUGGAGGACGGUGAGUCCACAACCGUGACAUCAACGAAGACGUCAGGUCUGACAUGUCCCCACUAUGAAAAACAUGAAGUCACGUUUGCAGAGACGAACAGGUAACAGUGAUGCCUCUGUCUGCAGAUGGCCAGACAGACCACGUGGCCCUGCUGAUCUGCUGCUUCCUGCUGAUGUGUCUGCUGCUGUUCUUCAGCAUCUUCAUCCUGAGGAGGAGGAGGAUUCAGAGGACGAGCGCCGCAGGCCCGUCGGGGGAAAAUGUGUACGUGAUGAUGCACGGUCACCGUGGCAACAAGAAGAGAUGCGAAGAUGAGAAGCAAGAAAGAGAGGAAGAGUCUCUCUAUGGUACACAAACUGUAACACACACACCAAAACAGAUGCUAACAGAUGCUAACAUGUUAUAUCUCUACAGUUCCCUGCAACGCGGUUGUUUCCAUGGAAACACCAAUCACCAAGCAGUUGAAUGUGGGGGCAGAAGACAUCUAUGUGUGACGACCAAUCAGAGCCCACCUUGUUUUCAGUGUGCUCACCUGGACACCAGGACUCACCUUCAUUCUGUUGUUUAUUUUUCUCUUACCUGUUGUUUUUUUAUCUUCAGAUUGAAAUACGUAUAUUAAUGUAUUUGUGAUACACAAACGUCUGGGACUGGUUAUUACGGUGGCCGAGAAGGGCAAACGCGCUGCAAAACAAAAACGCUGCAAAAGAGAAACGCUGCAAAACAGAAACGCUGCAAAACAGAAACGCUGCAAAAGAGAAACGCUGCAAAACAGAAACGCUGCAAGAGAGAAACGCUGCAAAACAGAAACGCUGCAAAAGAGAGAACACAACGGAAGUGCGCCAGGCCGAUAGGGGGACCCCGAACUGAGGGGUGCAAUGAACAAAGAACUUUUACAGAAGCGAGAGAGACACAUGUAGUGACAUAAGUCACGUCUCAUUUUGGAGGCUGCGUAAUGACGCAGGUUAUAGUGUUGAAUUGCAAAAGAAUUGAAUGAGCGACCUCUGAUGAUUGUUCUCAUGUGCUAAUAUGUGCUAACAAUGUUCUGUUACAUUUGUUCACUUGAUCAAAAUGUCAUACAACGUGGGGGGGUUGGGAAACCUGAAGGUGCGUUUUCCAUUUGUUACUUAACACUUGGCCGUCAUCUUUUACAACAUUGUACUUUUAUAAUACUGUAAAACAUGACGGCCAAGUGCUUAAAAAAUAAUAAAUGUAAAACGUACUCUAAUGCCCGCUAAAUUCACAGCCAGCAGAUGUUCUUUUGUCACUUUGCUUUAUUAAGUUUUUAGUCAGAACAGGUAACAGGUAACAGGCUACUGUUUCAGCCGUAGCCACGCUAAGUAGGGAUGGGAAUAUCGAUUCUCUGGAAUCGAUACUUCCAUACUUUGGAGUCGAUACUUUCUUAAGUAUCGCUCGAUACCACUCCUAAUAAAAAACGUGCAAUUAGUUUUCACUUCUGAGAGUUUUGGAUGUGUGAAAACCAGCCCAAGCGUAUUUUAAAUGGUCUUCCGUAUCACAUGAUUAUGGCAGCCAAUCAGAUGUCAGAGCUUUCCAGAGCCAGUCAUGCACUGCAGAAGGAAAUAUUACUCUCUCCAUUCUGCAGCGUGGAGGGACCUCCUCCGUCUCAGUGCUGACAGGCACGGCAGCAUGAAGAGAGAUAGAAAAAGAAGCAUUGUGUGGUGCUAUUUUUCACCCACUACGAAGGGAAAUGCUAUUUAUUUAUUAUCAUUUUAUUAUUAGCAUUUAAA
rnacentral:lncRNA from 1 species